rnacentral:piRNA from 1 species
CAAGAAGCAAACGGGAGCCUUUCUGAA